AAGACCACCACCCUCCAAACCCUAAAGCUCCAAAUCGAACAAAAAUCCCAAAUACCCAUCUCAGAGCAGCGCCUAUUCAUCUCCCAAAGCCUCCAAUUACUGACCCAAACCGGCUCCACCCUCCUUUCCGACCUCGGCAUCAGACCCCUCUCAACCCUAACCCUCCACAUCCCCUUGUUCGGCGGCACCCAACCGCCCAACGUCCCCAAGCCCCGCCUCGAGUUCCUCAACUCCAAGCCUCCCCCAAAUUAUGUCGCUGGGCUCGGCCGUGGUGCCACUGGGUUCACCACACGAUCCGAUAUCGGGCCCGCCCGGGCCGCCCCCGACCUGCCCGAUAGGUCGGCCACGACAAUCGGUGGCGCUGCUUCUGCUGCUGCCCCGCCUGGGGUUGGCCGCGGUCGUGGGAAGCCUGAGGAAGAGGAAGAAGAUGAAGGAGAGGAUAAAGGGUAUGAUGAGAAUCAGAAGUUUGAUGAAUUCGAAGGGAAUGAUGUUGGGUUGUUUGCAUCGGCUGAGUACGAUGAUGAGGAUAAGGAGGCUGAUGCGGUUUGGGAAGCUAUUGAUACGAGAAUGGACUCGAGGAGAAAAGACCGGAGAGAAGCUCGGUUGAAAGAAGAGAUUGAGAAAUACAGAGCUUCGAACCCAAAGAUCACGGAGCAGUUUGCAAAUUUGAAGAGAAAGUUGUACACCGUGUCUGCUCAGGAAUGGGAGAGCAUACCCGAAAUUGGAGACUAUUCAUUGAGGAACAAGAAGAAGAGGUUCGAGAGCUUUGUGCCGGUGCCCGAUACGCUUUUAGAGAAGGCGAGACAGGAGAAGGAGCAUGUUACGGCUUUGGACCCCAAGAGUAGGGCAGCUAGUGGUACGGAAACGCCAUGGUCUCAAACUCCGGUUACAGAUUUGACCGCUGUAGGUGAGGGUAGAGGUACUGUGUUGUCAUUGAAAUUAGAUAGGCUUUCUGAUUCUGUUUCUGGGCUGACGGUUGUGGACCCAAAAGGGUACCUUACUGAUCUUAAGAGUAUGAAGAUUACUAGUGAUGCUGAGAUUUCUGAUAUUAAAAAGGCCAGAUUGUUGCUCAAGAGUGUAACACAGACGAAUCCGAAGCACCCACCUGGUUGGAUUGCGGCUGCAAGGCUAGAGGAGGUGGCUGGGAAGAUUCAAGCAGCCAGGCAGUUGAUUCAGAAAGGGUGUGAGGAGUGUCCCAAGAGUGAGGAUGUGUGGUUAGAGGCGUGUAGGCUUGCUAACCCGGAUGAAGCUAAGGCUGUGAUUGCCAAGGGAGUCAAGACGAUACCCAAUUCGGUGAAGUUGUGGAUGCAGGCUGCAAAACUAGAGCAUGACGAUUUGAAUAGGAGCAGAGUGUUGAGGAAAGGGUUGGAACACAUUCCUGAUUCUGUUAGGCUGUGGAAGGCGGUUGUGGAGCUGGCAAAUGAGGAAGAUGCAAGACUUCUGCUUCACAGGGCCGUGGAGUGUUGUCCCUUGCACAUUGAAUUGUGGCUUGCACUUGCAAGAUUGGAAACUUAUGAUAAUGCUAAGAAGGUCCUCAAUAAGGCAAGAGAAAAGCUAUCAAAGGAGCCAGCCAUUUGGAUCACUGCGGCCAAGUUAGAAGAAGCUAACGGGAAUACGUCCAUGGUUGGGAAGAUUAUUGAAAGAGGUAUAAGGGCCUUGCAAAGGGAAGGAUUAGCAAUUGAUAGAGAAGCGUGGAUGAGGGAGGCUGAAGCUGCUGAGCGUGCAGGGUCUGUUGCAACUUGCCAAGCAAUCAUUCGGAACACAAUUGGGAUUGGUGUGGAGGAGGAGGAUAGAAAGCGCACAUGGGUUGCUGAUGCAGAGGAAUGCAAGAAAAGGGGUUCGAUUGAGACAGCCAGAGCUAUUUAUGCUCACGCACUUACUGUGUUCUUAACCAAGAAGAGCAUAUGGCUCAAAGCAGCACAACUUGAAAAGAGCCAUGGGACUCGGGAAUCUCUUGAUGCUUUGCUUCGUAAAGCAGUGACAUAUCGACCACAAGCUGAAGUCUUGUGGCUUAUGGGAGCUAAGGAGAAGUGGCUUGCUGGGGAUGUGCCUGCUGCCCGUGCCAUCCUCCAAGAAGCUUAUGCUGCUAUACCCAAUUCUGAAGAAAUUUGGCUUGCUGCAUUUAAACUUGAAUUUGAGAACCAUGAACCUGAGAGAGCUAGAAUGCUUCUUGCCAAAGCCCGAGAAAGGGGAGGCACAGAAAAAGUUUGGAUGAAAUCAGCAAUUGUUGAGAGAGAGUUAGGGAACCUUGAUGAGGAGAGGAAGUUACUUGACGAGGGAUUGAAGCGGUAUGCUAGCUUCUUUAAAUUGUGGUUGAUGCUUGGACAACUAGAGGAACGGCUUGGUCAUUUGGAAAAAGCCAAGGAGGCUUAUGACUCAGGUCUGAAGCACUGCUCCAAUUCUAUUCCACUCUGGCUUUCUCGUGCUAAUCUGGAAGAGAAGAUGGUUGGGCUGAGUAAAGCUCGUGCAGUUCUCACGAUGGGCAGGAAGAAGAAUCCUCAGAAUCCUGAAUUGUGGCUUGCUGCUGUUCGAGCUGAAUUGAGGCAUGGCAAUAAGAAGGAAGCUGAUAUCUUGAUGGCAAAGGCUUUGCAGGAGUGUCCCAAUAGUGGUAUCUUGUGGGCUGCAUCUAUUGAGAUGGUACCCCGUCCCCAACGGAAGACCAAGAGUAUGGAUGCCCUCAAGAAAUGUGAUCAUGAUCCCCAUGUCAUUGCUGCUGUGGCAAAGUUAUUUUGGCAUGAUAGGAAGGUUGACAAAGCUAGGAAUUGGCUAAACAGGGCAGUGACACUUGCUCCAGAUAUUGGGGAUUUCUGGGCUUUAUACUACAAAUUUGAACUUCAACAUGGGACUGAGGAGAACCAAAAGGAUGUACUGAAAAGGUGCGAAGCUGCAGAACCAAAGCAUGGUGAAAAAUGGCAACCUAUUUCAAAGGCUGUGGAGAACUCUCACCAAUCGUUUGAAGCUAUCUUGAAGAAAGUGGUGGUUGCUCUUGGGAAGGAAGAGAGUGCAGCCGAAAAUAAUAAACACUAGUUCUGGCUUGUUUUUUCCAGGUUAUGUUGGAAAACGUUGUAGUACAGAAAGAAAAUCGAUGUCUAGUGUCACUUGUCAUCCGGUUGGCAAACGUUGCUAUAAUUUUAGCUUUGCUCAUUUGAUAUAUUUCCUUGCUGAUGAAGUAUGGCUUAAUUGAUUGUUCGAAUUACGAUGGUAUGUCUUGACAUAUAAAUUUUCAUCUGUGUUCUUGUGCGUUUUCCUUUUGGAUUUUACACACUCCCUUGUAGAUUAGUUUGAUUCAUAUCUGACUGCAUUUAGUUAUGACAAUUGCCCUUCUUUAUGAUUUCCCUUCUGCGAUUUUCUGCAGUUCCGCUAUUUGGUCAUCUAUCUUUAAGCAUCCUCUGAGCAUAGAAACAGCUUAUUGCUUGCCUGCUUGGACUUGAACACUAUGUUACUGUGCCUUAUUCUUUUAUCCUAAGAUGCAACGGUUACUUCUCGAUUUCCUACUUGAGUUUUGUAUGUGAAUUGACAAAAUUAUUUAUGUGAAUGUUUUUCUCAUAUUGCUCGACCCUGAAUUCAGCAGUAAAAUUGAUGGCAACAUAUAGUUUUCAUUUUUUCCUUUUUAAGACUACUGUCAUGUGAGGCUCUGUAAUCUAUGGUUAUGGAAACAAAAUGUUGACAUGUCAAUGAACUGGGCUUCUUCAAUUUAAAGGGGGAAAUAAGACUGUAUUUGGCUUACUCUUUGUUACAUAACCAUCCAAGUCUAUUACUUUUCUGUCAUAUUAUAUGCAUUUCCUUUUAUAUCCUGUCAUUUUUCUGCCUGGUUUGUGGUUUCAGUUUAUGGUAGGGGAUUCCUAGGUGAUAGGGAUUUCUCUAAAAUUUAGGCCCAAGGGUUCAUAGAGAUAGGAGAGAUUAAGGAAGGGGGAACUAGGGCAUUUGGUUGUGUAUUCUUUUAAUUUGUGUUCAAUUGUCAGGGAUUAGGUUUUAUAUGUAGUAGUUUGAUCCAUCAUUUAAUGGCCACUGAAAACAUUGGUGUGGUUAUGCAUUUUCUGGUCCACAGAAUAUAUUUGAAUCAACUCUCAGCUUAUUGAGCUGUGGGCUUUUAUUGGAUUCGUUUUUAUCAACAAGCUCUUGAACUGAUAGGAUUCUCCGUGAUCUUUCCUUCCAAGAACAAAGACAGUCUUAUAAGCUAAUUUAGUCUGGUAAGCUGGCUUGUAUUUUGUUGGGAAAUGUGCGGGUGCUUUCUGUUGGCUUAUGUUAAAUGCAGUUUGUUGUAUUAUGUCCUUUGUCCUUUCUUUGUUUAUGCUUGUAGAAGGGGUUGCCUCGGUGGUCCGGUUGUCUUUGUAAUCUAGGCUCAAUCUCAGAGUCACUAAAUUUUGUAUCCUUGCAUGCAUCUGGUGGUGCAUUGCUACAGUCAAGAUUGACAAUACUAGGGUACAUGGUCGUGCCCUUAAUGUUCAUGUACUGGGCAUUCAAAAUCGAAACUUUCUAUGUCUUUCGGCAACCCUUUAAAAGGUGAUGGGCAAAAUAAUGUCCUCAGAAACCAAAGUAGAGAGGGUGUGUGAAAACCAAGCCAACUCUCGAUCCUAAACCGAGGGCAUUCUCGCAUCUCGCAGGUCAUCUUCUCGACGUUGGUUACGGAGUCACCAUUUGCUGGUGGUGACACAGUUAUCGACUUCAUUUCUGAAGACUGCACUGUUGCUUCAACCUCAAUGUCUGGGAAAUUCAAGUGGACCAACUAUAUAUUUUCCUUUUGGUAUCACAAUGGUUUGUUCUGCCUUGUAGAAAAGCCUAAACCAGCCAUCACCUACAGAGUCACAGUAUGUAACGCGGGCUCCAACCAAGGGCAUCGAUCCAGUGACAUUAUAAAGUUCAUCCAUCCGAUCCCAUUAAGUCAUACCAACAAUAGAAGAAUAAGAUAAUUAGCUCGCCCCCAAGUGGAAACAUAAUUAAUUAACAUAAUUUAAGGAUUUUACGGGCCAAUUAGUGCCUAAGCGAAGGCUAGCAGCACCAAAAAGUAGAAACACUGACCUUCAAGCUUAGAAAUGGAGAAAUGUUUGUAACGGUAAACGUCACGUGGUAUGCCGAUGUGGUAUUAUGAAUUCUGUGUACGUUCCAACAAGAUGAAAGACACAUGGAAACUCAUAUUCUAACAAUGAGAACAUUCAAAAUCUAGAAACUUUAUAAGACGAAAGAGAACGGAGAACGAAUUAGUUGUUGAACUUGCUAGAAUUGAUAAUCAAUGAUGCAUCCAUAGAUGCAAAUCUAGAGAAUUGAUGGAGCAUGAUGUAGCAUAGACCUAACCAUGUUGCAUAACCCAGUUCAAACUAGCACCAUUGUUGAGCCAUUAAAUGUAGUCUAUUUUUCAGAGUCAAAAUCUCUUUCUUUUCUUCUCUUUCCUGUUUCUUUAAAAGAAUAAUUGCUAUAUAUUGCUCGUUGCUUAUCUUUGCUUCCAGUACAUAAAUGUAAUGAAUCAAGUCUAAUGAAAUUAAGUUUUAUCUUAUGAUUGUGUCACUGUUUUUUUAAACAUUGCUUCUUGUACUGAACUAUGGGAUUUUUUUUUUAAUAAUUUUUUUUCUAGAUUAGUGUUGAAGUACAGUGCUGAAGUCUGUUUGUGGUUUUGGACAGAGGACCAUUUGAGGUAAGAACCUCUUCUUCUCAUUACACUUAGUUCCAUUUUGUUUUCUUAUUAACAGCUAUAGUGGUUGUCAAUGUCAUUGUGGUGUUGUUUGUUUAAAGUUAUUAAAAUGGCAUACAUGUUUUGUAUUGUGUUGAGAAGUUAUGCAACCCAUGUUGGUUAAGCUGUGGAUUAUACUUUGGAUUUUAUGAUUUAUGUUCUCUAAUGGGUUUGUGCUAUGCAUGAUAUUAGUCUUUACAUUGAUUUUUCGGAAUUGUUUUCCUUAUUAAUUUGUGGUAUUUGUUAUUAUCACAAAGGUAUCCUUUAGACAGUUAAUAUUGAGAGGUAUGAAAAAUGAAUUCAAUUUUUAUUAAGUUUGUUCAAAUAUCAUUCUCGAACAUUCUUAAAUAUUGAUGACCAGUAAUCAUUUUUCUUUUGUAGAUCCACUCUUUUUAACGGCUUAUUUAGUUAAGAUUGUGAAUUUCAGCUUUUGGGCAAGAUUUCUUGUAAUUAUGUUGUCGAAAAUUGUUUGUUUUUGGUCUCUUAAGUAUAUUUUUAUAUUUAAAUUUUCUUGGUUUUGGCUUCUUCUUGACCAUUGGCAUUUCCUUGUUUUGUUUCUUUUGAAAAGGAGGAUGAUUGAUGAGUUUGAGAAGAUCAAGCAACAAUUGGCAUUGUUUGGGAAUUCCACGAUAUUAGAUCACAGUCCCUAUCCCACAGGUGUUAAAGAUCAUGACUACCAAACUCAGAAUUACAAAAGGCAUAGUAUACAUGCAUUUUUUUUUAGUCGAAACCUAGUCUUAGAGUGGGGAAAUAAUUAUUGCAGAACUUGGGUUUUCCAAGGGCAAGAAUAUAUGGAGCUUGGCCUCCAAUCUUUGAGUAGGGAGUUCUUCACUCGUUUAUGUAUACUAAUUUUGGAUAUGUUAUGUGUACCUAAAUAACUAGUAUGCUCUUGUGUACUUUUCAAUGAGAGAAACUUUUAUUCAUAUCAUUUUCUAUUGAUCUAUUGAUCUGUUUAUUUAAAUUUAUUGUUUUUUGAAAUUACAAUAUGUUAAGGAACAAAAGGUUAAUAUUAUCACAAAACAGAACAUAAAUAAAAUAAUUAAUAACACCUACAAUAUAAAUAUUUUAGCGACCAAAUAAGUAAGCUUUAGCGACCAAAUCCGGUAGUCAUCAGUACCUAUUGGCGACAAACAAAUCUAUUUGGUCACCGAAUCCUUCCUCAGUUCGCAGUAAAUUUUGGUAUUUUUGCAGGAAGCAAUCUUUAUAGGCGACCAACUGAUUACUGUAAGGUGACGAAAUCAAUUGGUCGCGUAAAGGUUUUGACGACGAAAAUUAGUUUUCGUCGCCCUUUGUCAUCUGGUACUUUCAACCACAAGCCUUAGGCGACAAAGCUAGUGACGAAAUUAUUUCGUCGCUAAAGGGUUUUGGCGACAAAAUGUCAGCUUUUAGCUACCAAAGGUAGUGGUCGCCAAAAGGGGUUUUCCUUGUAGUGUAGCUACAAGGGAGUUCAAAGAUGUUUCCAUAACAAACCUUUGAAUCUCUUCAGUAACUUGGAACACAAUAUAAUCUGAAAUUACCAGGGCCGGUCCUGACUUUUGGGUGGUCCUAAGUGAUAAAUUAAGAUAUAUUUAGUCAUAUAUCCAUUCUUAGCACUAAAACUGUAAAUAAACCCUACACUAUUUAAUUUCUACAUACAAACCCAAAAAAUAACAAUUGGCCAUAUUGAAUUUAAUUUUGAUUAUUAAAUUACUUUGAUGUCCUAUUGAGUGUUUUGGGCUUUUUUAUGAGGUUUUUGGGUUGGGUUUAUUUUAAGAAAUCAUGGCAGUUUUGUAAUUUAAAAGAAGUUAUAAGCCUUUUUAUUAUGUUGUAAAUAAGUUUUGGGUGUGUUUCUAAAGUCCAUUUCAUAUAGGGUUUGUUUUAUAAUUUGGGCUCCUAUAUUGAGUAUAAUAGUGAAUCUCCCAUAAAUUAAUAAUGGGGCCCCUUCUUUAGUAUACAAUAAAGCUUGAUACGAAAGGAAAAAGAAAGUGUUCGUUCAUUCUUUUUGGUUUAAACAUAAUAAUUUCAUUCUAACAAAACAAAAGUACAUGAAUCAUAAAAAAUAAAAAUUAUAUUUAGGUCCAUACAUAGUUAGAUAGCUUCUAACAUUCAACAAAACAACCUAUUCUUUGACAGUAAGUUCUCAAGUAGUCUCUUUUUUGGGCCCAAAGGUGUUCAUUAACCCAAUAAAGAGAAUCAACAAACCACCUAACAAAAGAUAAAGGCCAACCCCAACAACAAUCUGAGAAAGGAAAAGCAAGAACAAAACUCAACAGAGACCAGCAUAUAAGGUUUAGGGUGGGAAAAAAUAGUUUGUUGGAUAGGGAAAAAUAUAAAGAAAAAUUCAUAAAUCUGAUUACCUUUUCAAAUUCCCAUGCUCAUCUCCUCUUGGUCACCAUCAAUCUCAAAGACAAAGAUCAAAAAAGAAAAAUUGUGAGCUUUUCAGUGAGAGAUCGAUUCUUUUAGGGUUACGAUAUGAGAAAAGAGGUAUAAGAUAAACUGAAAAUAAUAGGAGAGAGAUUGGGAGAACAUAGAAUAAUAUGGUGGAUUAAAUAGAGAGCAUGUUCCAUGGAGAAACUAGGAGUAGGAGAACCAAAGUCUUUUGGAAAGAGGAGAGCGUAGGGAAGAGAAAGUUUGUUUCUUUAUGGGCACAUGCUCCUUAUCGUUGUAUAUGUGGAAGUUGUACCCCCUUCUACUAUAUGAAUGCAUUUAGUUCAUGGAAAAUGAGACUUAAGUAUGGGAAAUGAGGCUUGGGGAUGGAAAAUUAAUUGUUUUCCCAUGUUUGGUAAGUCUAGGCAUGAGAAAUGGCUACUAGGCACAUGGAAAAAUUUGGGGGAAAAUGUCCUUCCCCCCGGGUUUCAUUUUCCUUUCACAUGGGAAACUUUGGGAAAAUGGGCCAGUAUUAAAUGCACAUUUUUCAUGAUCAUUUUGUCCCUAUCAACAAUAUCUCAUGUAAUGUAUUAUUUUUUUAUUUGAUUUAAUAUCGGUAUAAUUGAAAAUUUAUACACACUUUGUUUUCCAUUCCUACUCAAAACAAACAUGUGAAAGGAAAUAAAGUGAUAUCUCCGGUUACUUUCCCAUCAUUACCAACCAUGGAAAAUGAAUCUUCCAUUUCCCAUGCCUUGGGAAAUGAUAUAAGAAGUGAUAUCUCCUCAAAUCCGUUCCGUAAACCAAACGGGGCCUAUAUGUAACAAUUGUGCAAGAUGCCCUACAAAAACCACAACAACAUGCCCACCAACCUAAAUGAAAAAAAUAACUGAGUGAUAUGUACAAAGAUUAAUAGUAUAACCAAACAUGUAAAAUUUAAUACCAAUUGUUUGUGCAAAUAUUCUCACGGGAGAAUAUCUGAGUGAUAUGUACAAAGAUUAAUAUAGUAUAACCAAACAUCUAAAAUUUAAUACCAAUUGUUUGUGCAAAUAUUCUCACGGGAGAAUAUCCGCUUCUAGAUCCUUCGCACUUUGAACUUCUUUCUCUCUUUUCUUCGGUUCCUGUAAAAAAGACCUGAGUAAAUAGACCACACUCGAGGGGUGUUGACCAAAGGCCCUCCGAUGCCUAAGUUAGUUCGAUUGUAUCUAGGUGAAACAAUAGCUAAAAAAUUGUACGAAGUUUUCUCUGUGGUGAGAACCGGGUGGCUGGAGCCAUGUGGAGAAACAAAUAUGGAGGAGUCGUCGGCUAGAGAGAGAGAGGGGCAGAGAUUUUGGGGUAUUUUUAUAGGGUUUCAGAACUAGGUUUAGAGUUAACUUGAGUGUUGAAUAAAGCCAUGUAUUUAUGGGGCUCUAGGCAUCUAGGGCUUUUCAAAGAAUAAACUCUUAUUUGGAAGGAGUUUAUUCUUUCCCCAAAUUGUAGAGAUUGAGUCCAUAAGGAUUUGAUUGGGAUCAAAUCUCCUAAUUUGAUGAUGAUAUCUCCAAAUUAAGAUAAUAUCUUAAUUGGUAAUAUUAUCUUUUUAAAUAAUGAUAAUAUCCCUGUUUUUAGUAUCAAUUAAUUGCCAAAUAAAUGAGUUUAAUUAAUUGACCCAUGAGAUAUUCUUCUUGUCCAUGUGACUUCUCGUGAUUGGAAGCCAAAUCAUUUGCUCCCACAAAUGUUGGACCUUUUGCAUGGCGCUUGUGUGGCAUGUAGGAAAUGAAAUUAUUCUUUGAGCUUUCCAAUUGUAUCUUGAUGUUCUUCUUUAAAUUGGACUCCUUUUGCAAAUUGGGUUCCCAAUUAAAGUGGGCUUUUGACUUUCCUUGGAGUUAGGCUCCCAAUAGAAAUAGGCUUGUGUUUUCUUCUUGACUUAGGAUGCCCAACCUUCAUAAAUACAAGACUCCUCCUCACUUUCCUUCAAAUCGCGAACUUGUCUUCUCUACUUUCUAGCUUGAGAGAGAUCUUGGGGAAUUUGUACUGCUUGUCGAAGAGAGGAGUUGCCGUGCAUCUCAAGGUAAGUGAAGCAUGUGUAUUUUUUUCUUCGUUUUUUCUCCUUUGCGGCGAGGACUGGUCCGAUGGGUUCUGCCAAUUGUCGUCUUGACAUCGCUAUCGAGGACCAACGGUAGGAUGGAAUAGAUAGGCAAAUUGACAGUCGCGCGGCUGGAUAGACUAGAUAGGCGAAUUGAUAGUCGCCCAACUGCUGCUGCCGCUGCUUGCAGUGUUGGAGGCUCCGCUGCUUUUUCCGCUUCAUGUGUCGUGAGCUAGCUACUAGAUUGUGACUCUUGCUGCGAUUCAGUAGUUGGGUUGCGUCGCGCGUCUUGCUACGGGCUCUGGUGGCAGUAGGCCACUGCUACUACCUUGGCGAUUGUUGGUUGCAGCGGCGGUCUUUUUUUCUUUAGCGAUGGGGCUCGCUGCAACUUGGGCCUUUUGCUCGAGCUGCUCCGUGGCUUGCCUUGCAACUCAUGCUUCUUCUUUUUCUUUUUGAACCUCAAUUCUAGAGUUUUGACAUGCUAUAUGAAUUACAAUUUUCUUCCCUUUUUGGAGUUGUUUAUUGAUCAUGUCUUUAGAGGAUGGUAGCUGAGCACCAAGCUCUCAUGUGCCUUAGUAUCUGUAGGGAGGCUCCAAAGUGCAUAAGAGGAGAUUUGUGACUAAUCUCCACCUCGUUACGUCUGAAGCUCAGUUCUAGAAGUGGCCACUUAUGCUUCUGCCAUUCCUGAUUACGUGCAUGUUAGGAUGGUGGAGUCUUUCACUGAUGAUGCGCCUUGUGUAGAUGCGAAUGAUCCAGACGCUAGAAUCAUCACCUUCCGUCCCUUUUAUUUUUCCUUGGGCUUCAUGUUCCCGUUGUCAAAUUCUUCAGGGUGGUGUUUUGCACCAUGGAGUGUGCUUGAAGUCAGUGUACUCCAAACGUCUACCAAGCCAUCAUGUGCUUUGAGAAUUUAAGCCGUUUCUUCAAGCUGGAGCUGACGGUGUUGGAGUUUUUCUACUUCUUCAAAAUGGGGCGAUACAAGAAGUAUGCUCAAGUCCGUGUAUGCAAAGUCAAGUUGUUUGACAAUUUCUUUAGAGUUUGAGUAUUUAGGUUUGAUUUUGUUAUGAAAAAUUUGUUGAUUCUCAAAAUAAAGAAAAACACAUAUGUAGCUCAGAAAAUAACCAAACAAACACAAUUCAAGAGAGAAACCCCUAAAUUGCAGUGAAUAGUAACUUCUGUCUUGAACAGUGUUUUAGGGAUUUUUUUUGUCCAUUUUUGAAGCAAAAUACAUUUCUAAAUAGGGAAUGACCUAAUUAACACAACUCACUACUUUGCUGUGACAUAUGAGAAUUUUUAAGGUUUUAAUGUCAUUUUGGUAGGUCAAAAACGUGUUUAAAGUUUUGAAGAUAUGAAAAAUCAAAUUAAAAUAUGUUUUUCCAUAUUCUUUAAUAUUCUUGAUAUUUAGAAGAAAAAAAACAUGUUUAAUCCAUCUUCAAAUUUUAAACAUAACCAUAAACUCAUCAUGGCAUAAACAGAUAAGAAAUCGUAAUAGGUAUGGUUGAAAAACGAUUUCAAUGUGUGCGAAUAACUAGGUGCUCUGAUACCAUUGUUAGAAUUCUUUAUAUGCAUGUUCAAGAUCUUCCACACAAUCUGAAAUACGUAAAGACAUACCUGGCCCAAUAUUCCUUGAGUACACGACCUCUGAACUCAUUCAACCGUAGCAACAACAGUACUUCUGCUCUCUCUCAGAAUCUGGUUAAGCUCUUUCUUUAUGAUGAGAUUAGGGUUAGAGAACGUGUCUAACGAGAGCAGGGUCUUAAGCUUAUAUAGGGGUAGGUCAAGUCGUCUCUACUCAUCACCAAUGGCCGACUUGACUAAUCUUCCAAGCCCACCAAGCAAUGGUUCACGGAAAAAAAAGAAAUAAAUAGGACCCCUUAAUAGGCUUCAAAACCUUUCCUUAUUCCACAAGGUUUUGGGCCUUCAGGUAUAACCUAAUUUAAACUUUUAUCAAAAUAUGAUAUAACUUAAUAUCUACUGCACCGAUCUAAAUAGGAAACAUAACAUUUGCGUCUCUCGAAUGACGCUUCUUGUGGGUUGCAUAUCCCGAAGUACCCUUAGGAAACUGAUAAGAUGUACUUAACAUUAAUUAUCGUAUAAUUAGUUGACUUUAAGGACAUAUUACUAACAUUUGUCACAUAGUCAUUUAGCAGUUUGACUAAUAGUCUAGCUAACUACGGGAUGAAUUUGUAUGUUUUUUGUGAUAUUGUUCACCCGUUUUCGUGUUUACUCCUGAGGUGGAAGGGCGAAGUUCUCCACUGGCUUGAAGACCAUUUGUUGGUCGAUAAGUCAGCUUUCUUUGGUGUGUGAGCGUGCCACUGCUAGCGAUGUAAAUUCUAGCAGACUUCUUUUAGAGUGGAUAACUUGCGCCCCAAGUUACUAACUUCUAAAACAGAUGAUUGUGAAUUUGGGUGAGGAAUAUCUCCCAAGUAAGUUCUUUUCUUGCCUCAGACUGGUGAGGACUUUCAUAAUUUAUCUCAGUAUCAAACAGCUGUUCUGGCCAGAAAAAUUUGAUAGAAGUUGGGCUUUUUUAGGUAGAACUGCCUUUUACAAAACAAUAAAUAUGCAUAUCGACGCUAGGAAGGUUAAAAGACGGCCGGAACUCCGUUUCUGCUUGGAUGGAAGGCUCUGGCUUGGGCUGGACUGGACACACCUAGGUCGGUCCAUACUGCUUCGUGACUUCAAAUGCUAGGUUGAGCUAUAAAUCGAUACCAAAGUUCGAUUUUGGCAGAGCUUUAUGUUUACUUCACUCUUCGUGAGGCCUUUUAGUAGGCAGAACUGCAGCUUCUUCAGUUUGAAGAGGCAGAAGUGGCUGUUCUCGAAGGCUUGGUGGGCUAGGGAUUGCACUACGAGCGUUGUUCUGCUUGAGCAGGACUUUUCAUAAGUUCGCUGAGGUCUCCACGUUUGUGAAGAUUCAAAUUCUGCUUGCCUUGGCUUUUGCUGAACCAAAUUUGUAACGAGAGAGAUCUCGUUUUUAGAAGACUUAUUUUCUAAGUCUGAACUUUGGAAUUCUGAUCUAAAGCUGGUUUCUCUUGGAAUCCAAGUGAGCUUUUGGUUGUUUUCUUGUUGUUUGUUUUUUUAUUUAUUGAUGAAUUGAGUGUCCUUUCCUUCCUUGCCUACUUCUGCUUUUAUAAGAGACCCUCUUGGGGAGGUGGUUUCUUUUUAAUUUUAAUAAUGGGCGGUAAAAAGAUCUCCUAUAAUGUAAAGUAAAAGGGAUUUUUAUCAAUCAUGGCAGAUAGGCUCUCAGUAGUCACCUCCUAAAGUAGUCCCUUCCCUGGUUUCCUGGGUGACAGAUUUUUAUUUCAACCAAUGCCACCAUCUGUGUGGGCUAAAUUUUAUGGCGGUUGGUUUUCUUUUUGUAUUUUCUGAACAACUCUCUGUUUCCCGUUCUAACUUUAGAAAGUGUGAUCCGUGAAUUCCUCGGAAGAUGGUGUAUUGCUCUGGAGCAAAAUCUCCGAACACAUAUGGGUUUUGGUCUUCUGUUGGCAGUGCUUCAGAGAUGUCCCUCUCAUAUUUUAUUUUAGUUGGAAUUGCUGACUUUUCAAAACUGAGGUAGUCACGUGGGUAUGUUUUUAAUCCCUUGGGUUUGAACCCAACAAAAAUUACGGGCUGAUCCUUGAAGCCCAAAUGACAGUUUGGUCUUUCUUGGGCUGAGGGCUUUGUUUUCGACAUCCUGGCGUGAAGCCCAAUCUGUCUGGAUCCUAAUUUUGUUAUCCUCAAGUUUUUUGGGCUGGGCAGGUAAUUUUACCAUGGGCUUGUCUUUUGAACUUUGGCGUGCUAGAUUUAGGCCCAAACAGAUAUAAAUUUUUUUUUUUUUGGCAAGAUUUUAAAGCUCGGGUACUAACUUGAAAUGACCUCUAAAGUUUGAGUAGUUUUAUGUAGUUAACCCUUUAAUUUAUUUAGCCAAAUUAUGGACACACUAAAGACUAUUAUCUGAAUUUUUUAGAUUUUUAGAAUAUUAACCACUCGAGUGACAAUAUUCUAAAUCUUGAGAAAGAAAAAUUGGCCAAAAGUCCUUAAUUGAGAAAUUAUAGAAUACUACAGUAAUAUGACCACGUGGUAAAUCUUGUACACAUGUUAUAAUAUGGUUGAACGAAAGGGUUUAUUUUCCCCUUUUUAAGGAAUAGUAUCAAUAAAUAUCGACGUAUAUUAUAACAUGUGCACAAUAUGUACCACAUGACAGUAUUAAACACUCUCCUUAAUGUGUUAGAAAAGGUUACUUUUCCAAAUUUCUCUUGGAUAUUUGUGUUUAUUGACUUAUUAAGCAAUUAAGUUGCUUUCACGCUACUAUAUUUUGUAUUACAUAUUGGUGGAUUCUAUUAUGUAGUCAAAGGUUCAACAUUUGACCCUCGACCCAAAAAAAAAAUUAAAACCUUCUUUUAAAAAACUGCCAAAGCAAAGGAGGAAAAUCCAGUAGAGGAGAAAAAGUACCACAACACGAAACAACAAAAACAAAAACCUACUCCCCCCACCCGCCCUCUAUCUGACUCAAGUACAUCCAAAAGCCAAACUAGUGCUCAAUCCUCCGAUAUGAACCAGGUGUGCUCCUUAAGACCAAAUUGAGCCAAAGAAUGAGCCACCCUAUUUCCUUGGCUAGGUUGAUAGUGCACCUCUACAACACUCAAUCGUUCCAUCAAAAGCCGAACAUCUUAAACAAAGUUACCAAUAUUAGUCCAUAAUACCUCAAUGUCAUUUAAGUAACUAAUAGCUUCCUGCGAAUCAAUAAUAAGAUUGUGAAAACUUUUCGCAUAAAGCAAUAGUAGGCCCUCCCACAACGCUGUUAAUUCAAUUUCCAAAAUGCCCAAACUCACCGGACCCCAAAAUUUUCGACUUGCCUUACAGCACCAAAUUGCAUGUACCGCAUCUCCACCCCUCUUCCCACAAUGUAAGCACAAGAAGGAAGGAAGCACCUUUCACUGGACCAACUGCACACCAGUAGGUAAAAUAUCAGAAUCAUCUCUCCAAAGGAACAACUUAAUCUUGUUUGGGAUCUCCAAUUGCCACAAUUUUUUCCAAGAAACCUUGUGCUCUUAAUUUUCAGUUCCAUCACAUUGUUGAAUUAAUUUUCAGAUGAAACCAAUGGCUGAUAAUAUCAAUUUUCUUCCCAAAGAGUUUGGAGACAUAUUGUAGCCAACUAACCUUAAAUUUUAUACACACAAUACAAAUGACCUAAUCCAAUUCCAAACUUUGGUUGCUCUAAUCUAAUCAGCAUCCAAAGCAAAACUAAUCUUGAUUAAUUUACAACAUAAUCAUCAUUAUCUUGUAGCAGCCACAGCCUGACAUAAUUAAAAUACUGGGUUUGGUUUCAAAGAAAGGGUUUGUUUAUUCAGCCAUGUCUGCCUCACCACCAAUACAUGAGAUAUUUUCAAAUUCAUUAAUUAAUUAAUUAAUUAUUUCAACAAUGUCAAUGGAAAUCAUUAAUUAAUCAACCACAUGAUUUCUAAUUUUAUCAUGCCGUCACUAGUUCAUCGUUAUCGUGCCGUCACAAAUAAGAAAUUUGAUUGAUCUCAUGGGACGGCGACUGGUCCCACCUUUCCCCAUCAUUCUGUCAAUCACUCAUCGAUCACCAACAAUAAAUGUCGAAAGUGUUCGUUUUCUUUUUUCUUGGUUGAAUUUUUGUAAAUCUUUUUUAGAACUAAAUGAGUUCGAAUGCUUUUUUUCUUCACAUGAAAAUGCGCGAAACCAAACUGUGCAGGUGAUUGAUUGGAUGAGCGGCAUGCAGCUGCUGGAAUUUCCCUUUGUAAUCAUUGUGCGUGCAGGAAACUUCAAACAUUAGGCGAAUUCUAAUAAGCCCAUCAUUCUUUUGAAAUUUUUUUAUAGUAGAUCUAGUAUUUAUUUGAGUGUAUGUAAUACUUUUUGUGGUGUAUAUAGAGGCCCUUCUUACUUGGUUGAUGGUUUUUUUAUAUUUAAUUAAAGAAGGUCAUGAUUUUAAAUCUCAUAGACGACAGUUUUUGAAUAAAGAAAACGAAUAGUUCAUUUCUAAAAAAUGAAAUGUUUUGUUUUUUUUUUCGCCAAUAGUUCAUUCGUAAUGAAAUUUAAGAGAAUUAAUGAAUCCAAAAAUGGUGAGAUAAGUGACAACUACUUAGAUGGAAUUUAUAAUUUCAAAAUUCCAAGUAUUUUUUUCGGGUUACUUUAUGUUUUCACAAAAAGUUCAAAAGUUUUGGAAAUUCUAUGUUUCGAAUUGUUUCACAAAACCCCUUCGAUUAAUUUUCUGCCUACAAAUUAUUGAUGUCAUAAAACAAAAUUUUCUCAAAAUAAGUUAACCUCUAAGAUGUUCUACCUUAUCACAACUUGCCCUAAUACGAUAUGAGGAAAUAUUGUUCCCCGUUAAUGAGGAAAUGUUACUUGGUGCCGUGCUUGUUGAUGAGCAUUUAAUAAUUAAAUUAAUUUUGAUUCAAAUUCUUGAAAUGAUAAAGAUUUCAUAGAAAAUUAUCUUUAUUCUCAUUCUCGUUUCAGAUAAUUAGUAAAUAUUUUAGUGAGUAUUCCUCAUUCCAAUCCUUUCACAUUUUGAUUCUGUUCUCUAUUGGUCGUACAAAACAUGGCAUAAAUGAGAAAUUAUACUUAGUAGAAGUACAAGUUUAUUUAAUCCGAAAAGGUUCCCUCAAGUUAUUAAGGCCUAAUGUUAACAUAGUUUACAUAAAUAUUUCUGAGGAACUGUCAUUGUCAUUGAUCUUCAACCUAGAAGUUCAAUGCACAUGCAUGAUACUGUUAACAGAAAUGCUUAAACAAAUUUCUGAACCAGAUUCUGAAUAGCAAGAAAUUCAUCCAUCAAAACAAAAAGAAAAAGAAAAAUCAUGAGUAAGCAAUAGAAACUGAAGGCUCACAAAUGAUAAUGCAUAGUGUUCCAUUAAAUACAGCUACAAUCAAUAAAAGCAUACAUAAUAACACAAUAGAUGAUCAAGUCCAAAAUGUACAAGUCCUACAAUCGGCAUUUCCAUCCCGGGAGCUGAAAAACGAGAGCUCGUGAUGGUCGGAGCAUUUGAGAAGGAGAUCACAAAACCGUCUCCCUCUCGGGUGGUCCAGCCUACCUACACAUAUGCUAUAUACCCUACAGACAUUAUAAUACUACCCACUAGCAACACAAAGCAUGAAACAGAUUGCCACUGCUGAAAGGCCUGAAAAAACAAGCAGCCUUUUGCAUAGCAGAUUGGCCUGGAGAGAGAGUGUGAAGGAAUAAAUGCAGGAAUUUAAAGGAACUGAAAGUCAGAACCAAAGUGAAUUUGAAGCUUCAAAGAUCCCUUGUAAGAAAAAGUCACAAGGCUUCUAGGAUCAUUGGCUGUGUUUAGAAAAUCUGCAACCAGCUGUGAUGAGAAAUUAGAAGAGGGACUGAGGACUAAACUGAUAAAGUAAGAAGUAAAGGAAGAAAGACUAUGUGAGUGGAGGAGUUUGAAAUGCAAUUUGGUAGGUGUUUGGAAGAUUUGUCAAGGGAAUUUUGCCUAAAACUACUUCUACAACCUAGAGGUGUGAGUGAGAACUGGGGACAGCCUAAAGACCAUAAUUCCCUUACCACUUUGCAGAGCUCAAUCUUUAGAAAGAAAAGAAUAAUUAACUUUUCAAUCUUGGUCCUUCCAAAAGAAGUUCUUCAAGGGAUAUGAAGAGGAAGAGGAGGAGGCCGAACCCGAGUGGUCUUGCUGCCUUUCAAGUUCAGGACAAAUGUUAUUAAAGUUCUGCUGAUUUGGAUUGGUAAAAGGGAGAUGUGAUUGCAGCAAAAGAUUGUUGUUGGUGUCCAAAUCAUCCCACACAGGACUUCCUGGACCCCAACCUGCUGGAAUUGCAUUCAUCCAAGCCUCUGCCAUAUCCCCCCAAACCAAUUCCUCCGGCUGUGAAUUACCUCCUCCUGCAGCAUUCAUAUUCGCCUGAAAUUCAUCACUCGUUUUAGCUUCACUUGACCCCAAUCCCGAAUCGUCAUCGGUAUUGUCUUCUUCGGUAUGUGCCUGUGGUGGCGGUGGUGGUGGCAUUGCCUCCGUAUUUGAAGCUUUAGGGUUUUUCUGAACUUUACGAGAUUGCUUACGGUUCCUGGUUGUGGUAGGCAUUGAACUUUCGUGAGCUGUUGGAGAAGUAGCUGUUGAGCUUGGAGCUGUGGAAACUGAUGUGUUGUCUUUAUUGAGGAACAGCUCAGGGAAAUUAAGCCUAGCAUUCUCUCCCCUCAACUUGAAGGCCUCGCGGUCAUAAGCCAUGGCAGCAUCUUCAGCUGUGUCAAAGGUGCCGAGCCAGAGGCGAGUCCUGUUUCGAGGGAGACGAAUUUCAGCUACCCAUUUCCCCCAAUGCCGUUGCCUCACUCCCCUGUAAAGCUUGGUAGUAUUAUAAGGCAUUGCCGGCGGUCGAAACAAUGGUCUUCCAUCAGGCCCCAACCUGUUCAUCAUCAUAACUCUCCCUCUUGGACUUAAAUUCAAAGCAUCACUCCAAUACUGGAGAAUUUGAUGCUGCUGCUGUUGUUGCCAAGUUGUUGAGUCUCCGAGAAAGGGCGGGGGAUAACUCAUGCCAUGUUGCUGCUGCUGCUGCUGCUGCUGAGAAGCAAAAGAGAUCAUUUGCUGCUGAUUUUGUUGUUGUUGCUGUUGUUGUGAAAAUGGUGAGGGGUAUAUAGGCACAGCUGUGGUAUUGAAUUGGUUGGGAAAUUGAACAGGCUGCUGAGAGCCAUCAAAAGCAAAAGGAAAAACUAUUCUUGAAGAUGAUGAAGAUGGACAAGGAGUGGUUGAUGAAGUUGCUUGAUGAGCUGAAGAAGCAGAGGAUUGAAUUGGGUCUUGACGUUCAGGGCUCUUGAUUUUCUUGAGAGGCCUCUUUGACAUCAUGGAAGCUUCAUUAAAACCCAGCUUCCAUGGCUGGCUCUCGAAGCUAAAACCAAGGUCCUUGUCUUCGUUAAUCUCCCAAUCCAGGCUUGUUUCCAUCUCGCUUUCCUCCACACCCUUCUUGGAUUUACCGCUUUUUUUAGCCGCAGCCAUACUUGCUGAUUUUACCUUCUCGCUUUCUUUCUGAAUCCAAGGCUCUCAAAUACAAUCCCAGAAGCCAAAAAGAGAUUGAGAUUCAAGAGAAUUUCAGAUGGGUCACCGAAGUAAAUACGCCAAGAAAAAACAAAACAAAACAAAAAAAUCGAUUCCGAUAAAAGAGAAGAAAAUUCAAAUAACCCAGAAACAAAUUUUGGCAAAGGAAUAAAAAAAAUACAAAGACUGAAUUUUGGAAUCUGGGUUUCAAUUUGAAAAGCUAAUCCGAUCGAACGAAAAACAGAAUCGGAUACCAAAAGCGCAAAAUCUUGAGGAACCCAUCUAAAUUCUCUGAAUGUAGAGCUUGAAUUCAACAAAGAGAACGAGCAGGGCACGGCAAGUAACGAAUAUGCGAGAGGUUGUUGAUGAAGUGCAGAGUGUUUGGGUGUGAAGACGAAAUGUUUUGGUGCGGCUAGAGAAAAGCAGAGGAGCGAGAACAGAGGAGUAUCUAAAAAUCUAUGUGAGGAGAGACGGAGCAGGAGAGGGGGGGUUUAUAAGAGAGGAGAUAAAGAUUUUGAAUAAAGACUUUUUGAGGAAAGAGAGAGAGAGAAUAUGUAGAAGUCUCGGGAUUGGUUGGCUCUGCUUGGGCCCCACACGGCUUGCUUUCCUUACUUACACUCCAAUUUCUCUCUGUACCCACUAACCACCCCCCAUCUGUCCUUCCGUCUGUUUUUAUCUGUAAUUAAAGCAAGGGGAUUUCACAAUUUGUUUUAAAAAAUAAAUAGAGUAAAGGAUUUACUAGUGUAGUGGUUUGAAAUAUUUAUUUUCUUAGGUAAAGUUCUGGAUUCGAAUCCUAGCAUUCAUAUUGUGUGUGUGAGUUUAAUAUGUUAUCGCCCCUUUCAAUAGAAAAGAUCCUAAAAAAAGAAAGAAAAAGGAAAUAUGUUGCUUGUAUCCGUACAGUUUAUGUGGCAUGUAUGUGUGUAUUGAGUGUUGCAAGUAUUUGACUGCUACAAAAUUAGCUUCACAAAACAUGUGUUGAAUUGAAUAGUAAGAUGAGUGAAAUCUUGUAGAAAGUACCAAAUGGCUUGAAUAAGUUGUUUGAAUAUUUAUCAUUUGCCUCAUUGGUCCCAUCCCGGUAGGAGGGGGGUGGGAUAAGAAGUCUAGAAUGUUGGACCCUCGUUCGAAUUAUGAGUUUUGAACAUUGCAUUCUAAACAUAUUCCCAACUCCGUGUCAACUCUUUUCUCAUUUUCUAAUUUGGGACUUGAGUUGUUCCUGGAAGAUUUAGGUUAGUUCUAGUUGCAUUUCUACAGAAAAAAGGCCUAUUUUAUUUUGCUUUUUAUUUCUUUUAAAUUUCCUUGCAGUAGUAGCACACGUGUUAUCAUUUCGUAGAAAUCGUAAUUUUGUCGAAUCAAAACUAACGAAAUGAAAACUGCAUUUCUCCAGAAUAAAAACUGUAUGUCACUAGACCAAAUGAUCAUUAUGCAUCUUACUUUCAUAAAAUCUCAUAAUUCGAUCACAACUCACGAAAUUCAUAAAAUCAACUUGAUUUCAUGUGGAUUCAUUUUAUGUAGUUGGAUUAAAUUGGAUACAAAUUUUGAAAUUUUUUAUUACAACUAUGUUUGGUAAUUUUAGGUCCGAUAAAAACAAAAUAAUUUUUCACAAAUAUGCCCAUUCUAGCAUGCCAUUUUAUUAUUAAAGUAAAUCAUUCAAGUUUGAUACUUGAGAAAAAUUUGUAACACAUAGGAACCAAUUAAAAAUUGAUAAGUGACAAAUUGCGGGCAUAUUUUAUUUUUAUUUUUUUCCCAAAUAGGCUCUUUAAAUUAUUUUAUUAAUAUUAUAAAAUAUUGUGUUAGAAUGAUCUAUUUAUGAAAAUCACCCCCUUAUAUUACAGUAUUCUUUACUUUUUCAAACUGCUGAUGGAGUAUGAUAUAAUAAAACAAGAUAUUGGGCUGGCAAAUGGUCAACCAAGUAGAAAUGAUCAUUAAACCCUAAACCCUAAACCCUAAAGAAAAGUUACGUCACCAAUUUUCCAACCCCAGCCGGCCAGCCCAAUCAUUUACCAAAAAUGAAGUUACUAAUAAUAAAGUUUCCAAGUAAAUAAUUUCAUAAUUGCUAUAAAAUAAAUAAAUAAUUUAAUAAUUAGGAUUUAAACAUGCUUUUAGAAAAAGAAAAAGAAAAGUUGAAGUCACUUCAAAGAGAUUUUAGACAUGCUUUUUUCUUUAAUUACAGAACAAAAAAUAUCUUCAGAGUUGUGAUACGUGGUCAAAUCUUUAUUAUGGUGAUUGGAUUGUGUGGUCAAAUUUUUAUUUAUGAUCACCUACCUCUCACAUACAGAGAGACGUUUAAGUAAUUUUAAGCGGUUUACUAAAAGAGUCCUAGUGAAAUUAAGGUUUAAUUUGAGAUUACUUUGAAAAUAAUUAGUUGUAAAGUAAAAUAAUUUUAUGUUUGAUAAACAAUAUUUUUAUAGUUAUUUUUAAACUCUUCCUAUAUCUAUAAUGUUAGAGUUUUUUUAAACAAAAUUUUUUAUAUAUUGUUCGUAUGACAUAUAUGCUAAUUCACGUGACAAAUACAACGUGCAAGUAAGCGAAAAAUGCGUCAAUCGGGCUGCUUAUCUGUAUACAUACUUUAAACCAACUGUUUUAGCAUGUCAAAGAAAAAUUUUAAAAAAAAAAAAAAAUUGCAUAAGCUCAGAGUGUUAAGCUAAUUAAUAAGCAUAAGCAUAUAAUGUAUGGGGUUUGUUUGUGUGAAACAAGUGAUCCACGACUCCUCCACGUUAGAGGGCUCUCACUUUCGGUGAGAGCCAUUAGAAAAUAAAAUUGUCAUAUCUCCUUUGUCGUUCCGUAAGUCAACAAACAUAAAACGGUUUCCUCAAAGGGGCGGUGAGAAUCGGCACGUGUCGGUGGUCCACUCUUCAUCUUUAAUCAUUUUCUUCUUUUUUUCUUUUUUUUUUUCUAUGAAUAUUUGUCCAAGUCCACUAAACAAAGUUGCUUGUCUUUUUACAAAUUAUCAUGCCCCAUCAUAGAUAUUUUGGGGAGUCUACAUAAAUUCAUAUUGAUGGUUGAAUGCUACGCGUAAAUUCUUUUAGUUUGAGAUUGUGAAUUUGCUCUGAUGCUAUUCUAGACAUUCAUUAAAUUAUAAAAUAAAAAAAUGAAUUACAGUAAAGUAAAUUGUUUAAAAGAAAAAAAGAAAGUAGCAAUAACAAUAACCUUCGACUUCCCCUAACCGUUUGUGAUACAUCCAUUGUUUAAGCAUGUAGGAUCUAACAUGUUUCUGAAUGUGUUAGAAAAUUCACAUAUGUGUUUUUGGAUGACCAUAUAGAGGUGUUGGCGAUGGUGAUUGAGAGCUUCUACUUUGGUUCUUUUAUAGGAAAUUCCUAAACUGCCUUAGAAAGUGAGUCUUUUAGUCGGUCUAGAGAUUUUCGAGGCCCAGGGCAUCAUUGAAAAAUAAUCAUGUGCACAAAUAACUCGACAAAAACAUGUUGUAUUAUUGUAUAUAUAAAUUUUAUAUUAGAAAAAAGUUGAAAAUUUUACAACCAUAAAAAUGAAAAAUCAGGCCUCAAAGAAAAUACCAUUUUAUUUUUGUACUAUCUAACUUUUUAUAUAUAAUCAGUCACAAGAGACAAUACAAAAAAAUAAAGUAGUAAAUAGAAGAAUCCAAAAUGCUGGUUUCCAAACUCCUUUUUAAUGUAAUCCAAAACUCAAUAAGACGUUCCACCAUUAAAGGAGUUUUUGAACAACUUUUACCAGUCGAAAAAUUUGACCAUCUUUAAGAUGAUUGGCCAGAAAAGAACAAAAACAAUCCCCCUUAUUAGACAUCUAUGUGCAUAAAUAAAAGAAGCUUCCUAAGUUGGGAAUGAAACGUGGCUUUGAUUCGUGCAUUUUGGUUGCUUUCACAAUCUAUCUAUAGAAAUGGAAGAUCUCUUCCUCCUCCCAAAAACCAUUUGGUUUAUGGACAAAGAAAGACUGGUCUUUUUCUUUGACCGCCUCUCCAACAGUAGACACAAUUCACCAACUUUUUCUGACUCUCUUGCCAAUGAAAUAAAGAGGGAUGCAUUCGCAUGUCAUGGCAUUUCUAUAGUUCUUGGCAAAAACAUGCAUAUAUAAAGUGUGUCACGCUCACAAAUGAUGGGUUCUUUCCUAUUAUGUGAUUCAAUAUGUACCAAUAUUAUUAUUCUUUGUAUGACUGACAGAGAAACAAACCUAAAUAUGCCAUUUUUCAAUACGAUUACAGAACUAUAUGCAUGCAUUAUUUGACUGAUAUUGAUGAGCCAAAUACAUCAAUUAUAGUGAGUGACGUGAAUCAUGUGUGGUCUAAUGAAACAUUGUAUCUGAAUAAAUUGUUUGGUUUUUGUACCAUAUUCACAUUAAAGCAUCCAAUUCAAGAUAAGGGUGUAUGGACUUCAAGCAUAAAAAGAGACCCUAUAUAUAUAGAGGAGGCAAUACAUUAAAAUUGUUGUACUAUAUAAAUUGAAAGGCUCUCAUUUUAAGCAAAGCUAGUUCGAAACUCCUACGGAAGCAUGCACCGUCAAAGUUGUAUAACAAUUAUUUCAUACAAUGACAGCAAAAUACAAAUUUAAAGAGAAAGAAAAGAAAAAAGGAUCAUGACAGAACUAGCACACAGAUCGAUCAUGCAAGAACUAACUUCCCACUAAUUAUUCUCUCUUUCUUUGUUUUUUGUUUUUGUUUUUUUUGUUGUUGUUGUUAUCGUCGUCAUCAAAGUUAGGAAGGAGAGGAUGCUGUUCAAGGGCAGAACAAUACUAAGGGUGUUGUCUUUGUCAUUUUACUUUUAUUUAUUUUUAUAUUACUUUAUUUACUUAAGUUUACAAUGUAAAUAGGGAAGCACCUCCCAUUUGGAUUCAAAUAAAAAUACUAGAAAAUCAAAUUCCCAUCAAAUCAAAAUAUGAAAAAUCGGUUUUAGUGCAAAAUCAAGUUUUCUUAUUUGAUGUGUAAGGAAUAAAAGCCGCCAAAAAUUAUCUUGAGAAAAUAAUUAUUCUGAAAAUCCAUUUUUCAAUAUUUUUACAUAAAACAACUUUUCAUGUAUGAUAUGAAUGCAUGAAUGAACCUAAGGUCAAUCUAGCUAAAAAGCCUUAGAUGUUCAAUCCACUAUGGUGUUAAACCCUAUUUGGUUUAUGUUAAAACUUAUUUAAAAUUAGUCUAUAGAGCUAUGAACUAGCUUGGUUUAUAUGAUUUAAUGUUUACUUUUAUUUCUAGAAAGACUAUAGAAAUUGUAAGUACCAAAUAAAAUAAUCAUUAAAUUUUAAGCUAAUAACUUUAGUUAGCCCAUCCGUUGAAAAAUUCCUGGUUCCGCCCUUGGUGCUGUUCUCACACACACACUAUCAGGUACAACAAAGGUUCGAACUUGAGACCAUUAAUCUGCACAUCAAGUCUUUUCCACUGAUUUACAAGUUAAGAUCCUUUCUCCAAUUGGGUACCCCAUUGACAAAUCCUACUACUUAUCCAUUGAUUGUCAGCCGGAAACUCUUGGGUAUUUGAUUGAUGCAUAUAAUUAGUCUGAAAAUUCACGUAACCCACAUAUAUAUAAAUAUAACAUAUAUUCUAUCAACUGAUAUAGUCAACCAAUAUAAUACUGAUGAGUGGUGGUGGUGAGUGCAUGAAAUGGUUCUCAUAUAUAUAAUGGAGUCCUCGUGGUGGAAAAAACCAUUGUAUUAAUUAGUGAAAUUCUAAAACAAAGACCCACCUAAUAGCCUAAUAUAAUAAACAAUCAUUCUAAUUAAUUACUUCCUUAAUUAUUAAUCAUAUCUUUUGUUUUUUGAUCAAGUUAUUAAUCAUAUCUUAGCCUCCAAACCUUUGUGCAAGCAAUGUCUAGCACAAUGUAGCUUGGACACGUGUCAUGCAUCCGAUAGUACAUACCUCAUUAUUUACACCACUCUUAUUAGUUAAAAAUGGCCAUUGACAGAGAAUGCAGGAAGGUGUGUUCUUCUGCCAUUGGCCAGUUAGAAAACAUAGGUUUCCUCGAAACGAAUUGAAGUGAAACCCUAGCUAAUUGGCCAAUUCGAGGAAGUGUUUUGCACUGACCAAAACGACAUCAUAAUCAUCCUCGGUGGCCCAUUUGGGUAAUGGCCUAAAUAUUUCAAUAAUAAAGUGUAUAUAUAUAUGCAUUUCAAAUUCUCGAUGCUCAGUUGAGGAUUGGUUAUGGCUGCAACAGGAUGGUGGUCUCCACACGCUUCCCUUUCAAGUUUCAGGGGUUUUGAGUGCAUGGCAAACACAAUCGUGAGUGUUUUCUGUACAGUUUCCUCCACCUUUGUGUGCAGGGGGUGGUUGACAAAGAUAAACUUCAGUAUAUAAUAUUGGAAGGCUGGAAAGUAAGAACAAACAGAUAAAUAUAACUACAAGAUAUUUAUUAUAUAACGACGACAAAAUAAAUACUUAAUUGAUCUCAUGUGUGGUGGGCAGUCUCCAAGAUGCAACAACCAUCUUGUACGAUUAGUUCAGAUGCAUCCCAUUGGUUUCUAUGAGAUGGAUAUUCUUAGGAAGAGUUCAAAAUGAUUCUAAUAUACCUUUAUUUAUAGGUUACAUUCUAACUUAUUUUAAAACUUCAAGGACCGGUAGUGUAAGGGUCUUAGAGCAUCUUCAUCUAUAAGGGUUAAAUCUAGGGUAAGGACAAGUAAGGGCUGCCAUUAUUCACAUGAGUAGUGUCAGCAUUGUCAUUUGUGGUUCCACCCAUGAGGGUUAAGUCUAGAAUAAGUCUAAGGCAAAUACUAUUCAUUGUACUUUAUUUCCUAUUUUUUUAUACUUUAAACCAUUAAUUUUGAUAAUCUUUUGUAAUUAAAUUUUCGGAUAAGAUUUUUGGUUAUCACGCGUCCAUUAUUUUUCAGAAAAAAUUUUCGGAUGAGAAUCUCGGUUGCCACGUGUCUUAUUACAGAUAAAAAUUUCGGAUAUUUAUUUAAAAAAAUUAUAAUCUCAGAUUUCAGAUAAGAUUUUCAACCUCUAAAAUUGUGCCAUGUGUCCCAUAUCAGAUAAGAUUUUCAUAAUUAAUUAACAAAUUAUAUUCUUAGAUUUCAGAUAAAAUUUUCACCAUUUAAAAUUGUGCCACGUGUCAUCUCUAUCUUCAGAACCAUAAUUUUCAGGAGACAUAUGGCAUUUCCUGAACGUUCAAACAUAUGGCACCGAACCAUGAUUCUCAGAUUUCAUAAUUAAUGCACGAAAUUUUUUUUGCCUUGCCCCGUGGCACCGAACCACAUUUGUGCUUGUAUGAUCUAUUAAAAAUAAAUAAUUGGAAGUGCAAGAAAAAAAAGAGUGAGUGGAGAAUUGGUGUAGAAAGUAAAUAAUGUGAGUGGAGAGUAAAAAAUAUUGGAUGGAGAAGAAAUUGUAUGAAGAUUUGGUGUGGAAAGUAAAUAAAAUGGUUAGGUAUUUAUAGGGAAAAAAUUCAGAAUUUUUUGGUAUUUUUUUAAAAAAAAUUCAGAAUUUUGUCGAUUUUUUUUAGCCAAAAAAACAAGGACCGUCGGAUUUCUGGAAAAAACAAUCGGAGCGUCUCUAUUGCGACACGUGGCACAUGCCCGUUAGAUUCUAUCAGGACUGACGUCAGCGCGCGGAAGUCAAAUUUUUUUUACCGUUGGCUCAUGGGCUCCAGCUGAAGCCCAGUCGAAACUUGCCCUUGGGCCUGCCUGGGCUAGUGGGACCCAGUUCUUGCCCGGGCUUCUUCUCUCGCGCUGGAGGGCGCUUGGGCUCACCAAGGGGGCCUUUCCCCCAGUUUGGGUUGCGCGCUAGAGAUGCUCUUAUAGUUCAAGUGGUUUAAAGUAUUAAUUUAUGUAAUCAAAACUCUAGGUUUGAUUCUCCCCUCCUCCAAUAUCGCCUAUCACAAAAAACUUCUAGGACUAAUUGGACUAAAGCAAAGAAUCCAAUUAAUAGUUGGCUGGAGGACUAAUAUAAAGAAUCUAAAUAAAUGAACAAUUCAAUAGUCCAAUAAAAAAGAACUUAAAAACUAAAUAUUUUUAAUUAAAAAGAAAAAUUUGCAUAAAUACCACAUGAACUAAUAAGGUUGUGAGCAGUUAUCACCCAAUGGAACAUUUUCGACAGUUUGCUACUCAAAACUUCACUAUUUCAUCUAAUUUUUUGUAAAAAAGUUUCAGUUAUACAUACAAACAUGUACAUGUAGUCAAAUUCAAAUUAGUCAUAAUUUUAAUUAAAUCGAAAUAGCUAACUGAACAAAAACCGAAAAUAAUUCAGAAGUAUAGAAAUUGAACCAAUUGAAAUAUACUAUAAAUCACCCAACUGAAAAAUAGCAAACCAAACAAUUAUGGAAAUUCUUUGAUUAUUUGGUUUUGGUAAGCCCUAUCACAGAUUAUAACCCGCCAAAUGACAAGCUUAAAAAUGACAAAGUCCAGGAAUUGUAAUCAAGCGGCGGAUCAUCUUGCGUCGCUGGCACUAUCGAGGAGGAGUACGGAAGUUUGGGUUGAAUGGCCCCCCACCUCUCUUGUGCACAUCCUUUGCAAGGAUGGACUCCCUUGUCCUCACCAUGCCUAAUUUGACUGUUGAUUGGUCUUGAAUCGUUUUAACAUCCUUAUGGUUGGAUUGUUUUUCUGGCGCUUUUCUUCUUGAUCAGUCUAAAUGUGUUGUUUGUUUUCUGGACUCUUUACGCAUUGUCUGUUUCCUUGCAUGGACAGACUUGUUUCCCUCUGUAUGGGCGUGGGCCUUUUGUUUAGGGAUUUCUUGUGCUUUGAAUAUAAGAUAUUUUCGACCAAAAAAAAAAAAAAAAAGACAGAGUCCCCCUAAUCAACAUACCGAAGAAAUUUAGUACCCCAUUUCACAAGUAAUAGCUUUUAAUAUAUGAUAAAAGCAGCCAUCUUCACUUCUAUAAAUCUAUCUUGACCUCGUCUGCUUGACAAUGUAUACAUGGUAUGCGCCCGAUCAAAAGGGGAUGACAACAGUAGAAAAAAAAAAAGAGAAGGGGAACAAAAAUAGUUCAACAAAGAAAUAAGAUUUAAAAAGAGAAUGUAAUGCCAACGGGAUCUAAUAUAAUGAAAAAUAGCCUUGAUUUGCAGAAUAAAGGUCUCACAUUCAAAUCCCCACAGUAUCAUAGUUGUGUGUGUGUGUGAGAAAUCUCACUCCCAUAUAGUUUAAACUAUCGCUUGUACUAAAAAAACAAAAAAAAAACAAAGAGAAUGCAAUGAAUGAUAGGCCUGCGAACAUGGAGGCCAGGCAAUGUGUAUACUGUUGAAUGUAGACCCAUCACGACAUGUAGGCCCAAAUGUAAGGGCCUUCUACCAUUUUUCUAUUGGACCUAGUAUUUCUACAAGAAUUGAUUUGUCUUGAGCCCAUUACCAAUACAAGAGGCCCACAAUCUGGCUUUCCACCUUUCACUAACUAUAGAUUGAUUAGAAAAAACAUGUCUUUCUGCCGCAGAUGCAGCAACAUCCACACAACUUCCACUUGUUGCUUUACUUAUCUAUAAUGCAUGAUUUAUGGCGUAAAUGCAUUUAAUCCACACUUUUGAAUUUUGUCCUCAUUAUCCAGCAAAAAAUUUCCCCACUCUGAAUAUUGACAGGCUUUUGUAAUUUCUUUUGGGUGUUGAAAUGCCCUUUUUUGAAUGGCAAAUGUUUGUGUAGAUGUGAGUUAAGUCAGUUGAUUAAGAUAGUAUAUUCACUUUCUUGCUCCAGAAUUCGAUCAUCCUCCCCACACAUUAGAGUAGUUUAAAAUAUCACUUUGUUGAAAAUCAAUAAAACAAUAUGACAGAGUUCUUUCCUUAGAAUGAGCCUUUUCUCAGUCAUUGGGCCAAUUUCUCUCUCUCUCUCUCUCUCUCUCUCUCUCUCUCUCUCUCACCAGGCCAUUGCUCAAUGAACUUAUGCCAGAUCACUGUGCUCUCAUAUAUUAUUUCAUAAUCGGGCAAUGUUUUCCUGGAAGUCCUGGUGUUGCAUCCAAUCCGUUAAUUGGUCAACAAACUUCUUUUUAGGAAUUGGUGAAGUAAGGUGAUUUAUGACCGUGGCAUAGACCGAAGCGAAUUGUUCCCACCCCUAUUAUUUAGUUGUUUUUCAUUCGACAAGAAAAUAUGGUGAGUGAUAAAGAAAAAAGAACAACUAAAUGUGAUAAGUAGCACCACAACUUUACCACUAGCUAUAAUCACCUACCAAGUGAAGAAACAUUCUAUCUAAUCUUUUACAUACAUAUUCGAUUUCUUGUUUGACGCUGGAAUUAACCUUACCCUAAACCGUUAUAUGUUUAAUACGAACUACCACUUCAGUAAAGGGUCUACUGUAAAAAGUGAAAAGUUACCACCUAACGAAAAGUAAAAGUGAAGAAUUACCCAUAUAGGAUUUGAAAGGAGGAACGGGGUCUAUAACAUAAAGACAACAUUCUAGGAUGAGAAGGCAUGGCAUGAAAAAGACCGCAAGGGAAAAACUGACCAAGAAAACGGUGAACCACCAUCACUCAUUCACGCUCUCCCUUGGAUUAGAUAAGAUAAUGGAGCGCCUUCCACGUGGCACGGUCAUAGUGGUGCCUAGCGAUAAGGCUAGCAUUCAAAAUGUUCCUCUGCUUCAUGUGGUCUACAUGGUGUAAUGUCAGCAUUUUUAUGAUCCAAAGGUCCAAAUUUGAUUUCAGUAAAGUAAAUGGAAUUUGGACCCUAGGAUGUGAAAUAGCUAGUCAGACCACUAUAUAUAGGAAGGGUGAACAGAAGCUGUGCAACUCAACUGAAAAGUAAAGACCUCUAGCAAAGAAGAGGGCUAAAGAGAGCACAGAGCAAUGGCUUCCUCCAUGAUUUCUUCAGCUACCGUGGCUUCGGUUUACGCUGACCGUGCCGCCCCGGCACAAGCUAGCUUGGUUGCACCAUUCACUGGCCUCAAGUCUGCCUCAGCUUUCCCCGGCGCCAAGAAGACCAAUGACAUCACCUCCAUUGCAAGCAAUGGUGGAAGAGUGCAAUGCAUGAAGGUAAGACUACUUAUCAACAUGUUGCUACAAUUAAUUUACAUUCAAAACAAUAUACCCAAAUGCAUGUUGAAGUAACUACUUCACGAGGAACCGAAAUACAUAACUUGUGAAUAUACAAAUGAAUUGUCUGAAUUACAGUCUGAUAACUUAACAUGUCGUAAAAAAAUACAAUUUUUUUCAUAAUCGUAGCAUAUUUACAUACCCACUAUUAACUAUAAUUAAAGAAAAUGUAGUUUAUUUCCAAGCUUACCAAUCCUUUCGUGUGCUUCCUGGCCGCUAAUUAGUAAUAGUUCCUCUAUUUUUUUGGCCAAGAAGGUACUAAUCGAAGUACUAGAACAUCGAUUUAUCGAAUAUUUUGAUUGAUACAGGUGUGGCCUACAGUUGGACUGAAGAAGUUCGAGACUCUCUCCUACCUUCCACCACUCUCUCCUGAGUCUUUGGCCAAGGAAGUAGACUACCUUCUCCGCAAGAACUGGGUUCCCUGCUUGGAAUUUGAGUUGGAGGUUAAUAAUUUCUUUUUAUAAACUUAUUUAUAUAUGUUAGCUUCAUGUAAUAUUUGUUUGCUGACUUAAUUUUCUUGAACAAAAUUGUGGUUUUAUAGAAGGGAUUUGUGUACCGUGAGAACCACAGGUCACCAGGGUACUAUGAUGGAAGGUACUGGACCAUGUGGAAGCUGCCCAUGUUUGGAUGCACAGACUCUUCCCAAGUGUUGAAAGAGCUCGAGGAGGCCAAGAAGGCUAACCCCAACUCUUUCAUCCGUAUCAUCGGAUUCGACAACGUUCGUCAAGUGCAGUGCAUCAGUUUCAUCGCCUACAAGCCUGCAGGCUACUAAUUUCAAGUUUCAUGAUUUUUAUUUUAUGUUGUUUGUGGCUUGUUAGCCAAGGGUCUCGGUGGUUUGUUUAAGUCUGUACUUAAUUAGGCCUUUCAAGACCUUUGUUGGUUUCUUUUCUUUCCCUUUUUCGAGACAAUUUCCUUUGUUUUCGAAGUUGGUGUUUUUCGGAUUCAUAAUGUGGUGGUGUUGAGAAUAUUCAUGAAUAAAAUGAUAUCCGUAUUUUAUUUUCAGUCCGAAUAAAGCUACAUGUAGCAUGUUUAUUAAUUACAUUACUAAUUACAUCUCUCAUCUCUUACUAAGACAUACACUCACGCACAUGUUUAGAGGUGUGGUGAACAAUGUUAUUGGUAAUAAUGUAAUAAUAGUUUUAUUGUUUUCUAAUUAGGAUUUUAAUUCAGUUUCUAAUUUCCUUUAUGAGUUUGGGAAUGUACACAGAUGAUGGUGAAUUAUACUGGGGAAAGUUGAAAUUUGUUCUGAAGAUUACUCAAGGUGAAUAAGAUCUCUUCAAUGAUUUUCUCAAAAAUACUUCUCUUAAAUGCAAUUGUUCAUGAAAACAAUUCAAGUUUGAUAGCCAGAUAAGUAACUAAAGUAAGUAUAAAAUUAAAAAUUACCAACAAAUUGCAGUAUUUGUAUGUACCCAAAAGGAAAAAACAAAAGCUUUCUCAAGUCUGUUUAAAUUGGAUAUAUUCAAACAAGAUAUACAACUUUUUAAGUUCAAUUUUACGUUUUCUAUUGAAGCAUGAGCUUAUAACUAAGCAGAACAUUAAAGUCGUUAACCACGUCAUAAGCCUUCAGGUUAUAGAUGGGUACCAAAUUACAAAAUCACAACAUAAGCUCAGUCCCAUUUUGAUGGCACAUUUUUUGAGCCAGAAUUCAGCUACUAAUUGCUAACUUAAUUUUUGCAAUAUUUCUUUAUUUUUAUUUUGAAAUUCAAUAAAACCUUCUUCAAGCACUUGCGCUUCUAUCAAUUUCGUAUCACACAUUUUUUCAAUUGACCGACUAGUUUUCUUGGACCCUAGAUAGCUACACUUAUGGACAUGCAUUUCUCCAGAUAAAGAAAAAGAUAAGCUGGGUCAUUUCAAAGUCGCCGCACUAAAAUUACAACUUUACCCUAAACCCUAUAUUCAUAUCCACACAGAAAUUUCGAAGCUGGCUUCCAACCGUGUUUUGUGUUUACACGAGCUUGAUGACGACCCUCUAGAUGAAAUUAGUGAUUUGUUAAAGAAUGAAUCAAUCUGGUGUGAAAUGACCAAAGUCAGUUGUCAUGCAAAGCCAGAAGAAGAAAAAAAAUAAUGGACAAUCAUGUUAAAAUAUGAAAAUUAUGAGAGAACUAUGAGAGAAUAUUUGUUUGUGGGAAUUUUCUGUGUAUUCUUCUCCUUGUAGGAGGUCUUAUUUAUAAUACAACGAAACCUGAAUGGACAAGUAAAUAAUAAAUUCCUAAAUCUAUUUACAGUAAAAAAUCAUGAAUUAAAGUAAAUCAAUUACAAUUAUAAUAGGAAUUCUUGGUGUGUAAGGAAAGUAAGUCAAUAUCCACAAGUCACGCCAACACUCCCCCUCACGUUGGUGCAUAGAUGUCGCUAAUGCCCAACUGAUCCAGUGAAUUGUGGAAUGUUUUACUGGAAAUCGCCUUUGUCAAAAUAUCUGUCAAUUGAUCCUCGGAUUUCACAAAAGGAAACUGAAACACUUUAGCCUCAAGCUUCUAUUUGAUGAAGUGUCGAUCCACCUCAACAUGUUUAGUACGAUCAUGCUGAAUCGGAUUCUGCGCAAUGGUUAUAGCAGCCUUGUUGUCACAAAAGAGAUUCAUUGUGGAUGUAGGUUUAUACCUAAGUUCAGUAAGCAACUUUCUUAACCAAAGAAGUUCACAAAUCCCUUUAGUCAUGCCUCUGAACUCGGCUUCUGUACUGGAUAAAGCUACUACAUUCUGUUUCUUGCUUCUCCAUGUCACCAAAUUACCUCCCACGAAUGUGAAGUAACCCGAUGUGGAUUUUCUAUAUGUUACAUUACCUGCCCAAUAUGCAUCUGAAUAACCAUCAAUAUUUAGAUGACCAUGCUUUGAGAACAUAAGUCCUUUUCCAGUUGCAGACUUCAAAUAUCUAAGUAUCCGAAGAACUGCAUUCAUGUGGUCUUCACUUGGAGAGUGCAUAAAUUGACUGACAACCCUCAUCGCAUAAGCAAUGUCUGGUCGAGUAUGUGACAAAUAGAUCAAUCUUCCCACUAACCUUUGGUAUCUUUCUUUGUUAGUUGGAACUUGAUCCGGAUAUUCUCUAAGAUGAUGAUUCUGAACAAUAGGAGUGUCUGCAGGUUUACAAUCUAGCAUUCCUGUGUCUGUCAACAAGUCCAAGACAUAUUUCCUUUGAGAGAAAAAUAUGUCUUGCUGCGAUUGAGCCACCUCAAUUCCCAAGAAAUACUUGAGUCUACCUAGAUCCUUCAUCUCAAACUCCGUAGCCAGAUAGUCUUGUAGCUGUGAUAUUUCCUGUUUAUCAUUCCCAGUAAUAAUCAUAUCAUCAACAUAGAUUAUUAAUGUUGUUACCUUCCAUUUUCAAUGUUUCAAGAACAGAGUAUGAUCUGAGUUGCACUGUUUGAAACCAUUGUUCUUCAUUGCCAUAGUGAACCGUCCAAACCAUGCACGUGAUGACUGUUUCAAUCCAUACAAUGGUUUAGUGGCUUACCACGAUUUUGCCUGAAAGGUAAUUGAUAUCCAAUAGUUUUAUCAUCUAAAUGCACAAGUCUAGAAGGAGUAGUUACCUCAAGGAUAUUCUCAGAAGAUUGGUCUGUUGGUACUGUUGAGUUAGAGGGGGGUCUUCAUCUUGUUGUUUUGUAUUGUCUGUAGGUGUGAGACUCGGAUCAGAAGUUUCUUCGCAUGGAUCAGGUGGGUUAGGCAAUUGAUCGCUAUGAAUGGGCAAUUGGUAGUUUUUCGACAGAGAGUAAUCUCAUGCUCCAGACUCGGGAUGAUCAAUCAUUUCUGUACAGAGGAGAAUUUCUUUGUUUUUCAAGUUGCUCUAAUUCUGCUCUUCACUUUGUAUCUCCCCCUGAAGCGUAGAAUUGGAUGAUGGGUCAUGGAAGAACAGCUCAUAUUCUAGAAAGGUCACAUCCAAAGUAACAUAGGUUUGUUGGGUAGGAGGGUGAUAACAGCGGUAGCCUUUCUGAUGAGUGACAUAACCCACAAAAGCACAACGAAGCGCAUAGGGAUCAAGUUUGCUACAUUGAUUUUUGUGGACAUGAAUGAAAGCCACACAUCCAAAGAUUCGGGGUGUGAGUACCAAAACAGAGGGCAGAGGUCUGUGUUACGCAAGCACUUGUAAGGGAGUUUUAAAGGUCAAUACACCAGAAGGCAUGCGGUUGAUCAGGUGAACUGCGAUGAUAAUAGCAUCAUCCCAGUGAUGGUGAGGAACAUGAGCGCCAAUCAGAAGUGCUCGAGCAGUUUCAAGAAAAUGUCGAUUCUUUCGUUCAGCAACACCAUUUUGUUACAGUGUCUGAGGACAAGUCGUCUCAUGGAUAAUUCCAUAUUGUUGAAGGUAAAUCUGAAAGUCAUGAUUGACAAAUUCUCCACCAUUGUCUGAGCGAAGAAUCUGGAUUUGAGCAUUAAACUGGGUUUUCAUCUGUUUGUGGAAGGACUGAAAACCGGAAAACACUUCGUUUUUAUUCUUCAGCAAAUAAAGUCAUGUCAUCCCUGUACAAUCAUCGAUGAAUGUGACAAACCAUCGAACACCAGAAGGAGCAGUGAUAGGCGAAGGUCCCCAGACAUCAGAGUGAAUUAACGUAAAUUGAGUAGUACACUUGUUCGUACUCAAUGAGUAAGGCACACGGUGACUCUUGGCCAAAAUACAAGUAUCACAUAUGAAGUCAGAGUCCUUGAAACCUGAGAAUAAAUCUGGUAUAAGAUGCUUCAUAUAACUAAAAGACGGAUGUCCUAAUCGACGGUGCCACAACUAGAUUUACUUUUGUUUGCUAUCAAAGGGAUGUGUCACACUGUUAGCCAUGCCGGGACUGAAGUCAUUGACAUAAUAUAGCCCCCCUUUCUUAGUACCACGACCAAGAAUCUCUUUAGUGUGAAUAUCCUGAAGCAAACAAAAACUCGGGUAAAUGAGUACACAACAAUUCAAUUGUUCAGUAAGCUGACUAACUGACAACAAUUUAGUGGAUAAAGAUGGAACAAGUAAAGUAUUAGACAGUGUGAGAGAGGAUGAGAGUGCAACAGUGCCAGCCCCUGUCACAGGAUAAGUAACACCAUUGGCAUUUGCAAUACAGGUUCGUCGAGGUUGUGUAGUAUUCAGAAAAUCAUCAGGAUCAAACGUCAUAUGAUCAGUUGCACCGGAAUCAAUUAUCCAGCUCCUAGAAUCAAUCUUAUCGGAAGUAUGGAAUCCAUAACCAGUACCAUUACUGGUCAUAUUGCAUUGUACUUGAUCUGUAAGAUAGCCCACCAAUCGGGAUAGCCAUGCAAUUUAAAACAAGUCUCACAAGUGUGUCUCGGAUCACCACAAUAUGUGUAAUCUGGUCCAUGUGUCGGGGUCGUUAGUCGAGAAGUCAUAAUCUGUGCAGGGAAGAUACAUAGGAUACAGGUUGAAUAGGAAUUUGGAUCGGAAUCUGAGCCUGAGUCGGGGCAGGAGUCGGAGUCGAAAUCGAGAUUGGGGUCUAAAUCAGAGACAAAUUCAGGGUGGGGGUCAUCAUCUGAGUGGGGGUCGGGGUCGUCUUCGUAGUCGGGGUCGGGGUCAGGGUCGUCAAAAGAUGAUCCUGAUUCUGGAUCGGGUUCAGGGUCAAAGUCUGUAUCUGUAGGAGCUAAGCCAUCUAGCCACUCAACUCAACGAUGGUUGGUUGAGAAUGAGAGAAGGAGUCGGUGGUGCUACCUCCAUGAGGGUUGAAAAAAUCAUCGACCCCCAUAGCGGCGGCGGGGGUUUGAAGCUAGAGUCAGCAAUUCCAAAAUUUGGCUCUGAUACCAUGCUAAAAUAUGAAAACUAUGAGAGAAUAUUUGUUUGUGGGAAUUUUCUAUGUAUUCUUCUCCUUGUAUGAGGUCAUAUUUUAUAAUACAACGAAACUUGAAUGGACAAGUAAAUAAUAAAUUCAUAAAUCUAUUUACAGUAAGAAAUCAUGAAUUAAAGUAAAUCAAUUACAAUUAUAAUAGGAAUUCUUGGUGUGUAAGGAAAGUAAGUCAAUAUCCACAAGUCACGCUAACAAAUCAUUGUGUUAAAUUAAUUAUCCAAAUCGUUCAAUCUUUAUGUUUUUUUUUAAUGAUUAUUCAUGUAAAAAAUAAACUAAAUCGGAAAUUGUUUAGACAUUUAGGUACGUAGGAUGUGUGCACUUUUCUUACAUGAAAUAUAGGAAUUGAAAGAAACCCAACUGUUUUAAUCCAAAGGGAAGGCUAAAUCUCAUGAAACCAAAAAGAAAAAGAUUUGUGUACGAAUCGAAGGAAAUAAAUGAAAAUAUGCUUGAAAGAAGUAAUCUUACAACAGGAAUGAAUAUCAUGGGGAAUGAAUAAACUUCACAAUACUCAAAGAAAAUCUCAUUGUGGUGUGAAACUUAUUCUGUCCUCAACGGCUCAUUUCUGAUGUUUUCCAAGAUAUAGUAGCCUGAUCUAUUUAUAGUGAAAUAUGACAAAAUUUCCAACAAAAUUAUGGAAACAUAAUUAAUUGUAUCCACUAUUGGGAUAUUUUUUACAUAACAUUUAUAAAUUUUCCUAUAAAAAAAAUAAUAUUUAUAAAUUUGAUAAAUAUACCUAGAUGCGAAUGUUACGAUGUUGCAAAAUUAAAAUUUUUCCCAUAUUUAAAAAAUUCAUGUUAUUCACCAACCACCAUAACUCUAGUGGCAAGUGUACUUAUUAAUAGGAAUGAGGGAAGUUAUGAAUCAGGAAAAUUAAGAAAGGGAAUGAGGAAUUGAAAUUGAAAUCGGAUCAACUACUCCUCUAGUUGAUUUGAUUUCUAAUUUUAAAGGUAUUUGAUGAUGAAUUUUAACAAUAUUGAGAAGCUGAAGUUCUAACAAUUAAAUGGACAACCCUUGAUGUAUUAUUACAAGUCGUGGUAUACCACAUAUUUCUUUGGCAUAAGAAAAUGAUGAAGCUUGAUUUUAUCACACCUCAAGAAGAAAUAUAUUUUGUGAAUCUUGGUUGUUAAAGAUUCACCGUGAAAUGAAUAAUAUCAUGAUAAACCUUAAAGGAUGAAAUGAGACUCCCCAUAUUUUGUUAUAUUAUAUGAUCUGGGCCGAAAGCCCAUGGAUCCCAAUAUGUCAAAAAUCCCAAACCUGAAGUUUUGGGUAUAUAAUAGUUCAUGCUCUUCACUACUAUAUUGCAAUAUUAUCAUGGCUUUUCCUCAAUUUAUAUUUCAUGCCUAUUUGAAAAAGGCAAUUAAAUUAUGAGGUUGUAUUUAACCCGGGCCAGAAGUUCCUGGCACACAUGCGUUGAAAUAUAUAAUUUGAGAGAUUUAAUGUGAUCAUUUUGAAAAGACGUACAGGUGCAAGUUUAUGAAUUUGCCCAAUUAUUAUUAACAGAAAGAGAGUAUACAACAGUUAAAUUGUUUUCAUCUGCAAGAAAUAAAGCAGACUUUGUAAAAUCUAUCAAGCUACAUUAUGGCUUAGAAGUUCCGGAAGAAAGAGAACAUCGCCUCUUGAGCUUAGACAUGAGCCUUUCUUGGUCUUUUAGAAUCUUUUGAUUGGAAAUCUGCAACAUGUCGAAUUUUGUCUACGUAUCUAUUGAGUAUGAACUCACCAGUUUAAACAAAGUUUUAUUUUCCUUUUUAAGGUUUUCAACCUCUCGCUAAGAAUUAUGAAGCAUUCUCCGAAGAGAUGAAUUUUCAGUCUUCAGCUCCUAAAUCUUGUUUGCUUUGGCAAGCAAAUGAUGAGCCAUGUUAGAAACAAAAGCAGCACUCUGAAUGCUAAAAGCCAUUGAGUCAUCAAUAACCUUUUUGUCAAACCUUCCCAUUAAUAAUAUCUCAUCCAUUGGAGUAAGGAAAUUCCUAGCUACUAUGAUAGCAGUUGUAUCAUUCAUCAUAACAGAAUCAUUAACCGUGGGAUGACGAUUUUGGGAUACAAAGGAUGGACGCUAGACUUUGGCGUCAUGAGUUGUUUUAGGAGCAAUAUUUAAAUUGAAAUGUUUUGGGCGAGAAGAAGAGGAAGUCAUUUUAAAGGUUUCGAGGAAAGUCUUAGAAAAGCUAAACUUUCAGAAAAUGGAAGGAAUUUGAGUUAUUCCAAUUAGGUCAUACAAAGACAAUAUCUAUAAGUAAAAAUGUGGCAAUAUUUCUAGGAUCCCAAUAUUUCCUUUUACUUUUCCAAAUUCCAAAACUUCACGUGGCUUUCAUUAAUGUCUGUCGGCACUUUAAUAGUUUCAAGGACUAUUUUUGUCAAAUUGAUCUUCCUUUUAUGGAUUUCACGGUGUCACUUUUUCAAAAGUGUCUCGAGAACUUCAAAAGUUUUUGUAGUUAAUUUGAAAUUUAACAUCUCACACUAUUCCUUUUCUUGUGUAUAAAUAUGUUACUAACAAACUUCAUUGCAGAUCACAUCUUAUCCAAAUGAUAGAAUAUCAACUUGUUUUUCCUAUUAGCGAGCGCUUGAUGUGCUUGAGAAGCGAAACUAUCUCUGAUCAUUUCUUUAGGAAGCGAGACUAUCCCUAAUCACGCCUCCUGUGAUCUCAAGGGACUGUAGGGCAGUUAAGAACGAGCACAUCGCUCUAAUCUCCUGAAGUUCUCCUAGGCUAGGAGAAAUAAGAGUUUGUUGUCUGUUACCUCACCUGUUUCCUACCCUAAUUGCUUACCUACCUUGCAAUCAAUAUCACAAUUCUUUGUAUCUUUUCUUUCUUUUUAUAACUCUCUGUUCCUAUGGGAUUUUGUUUCUUUAUAACCUUCAUUUGAAGAACAAAUCCAUGUUUGAACCUAACACUUAGGGUUAUUUUUUUGACAGGGAUGAAAGAAUUAGGAUUUUUGCUCUUGCAAGAUAUAACUAGAUCAUCAAGCAUUUCAUUAUAUUUGCUGAGCCGAUACGAGCUUGAGUGAUAUUUGAGCAAAGUUUCUCUCAACUAAGGAUGUAAGCAAUACUUGUAUUAUUUCAUGUUUGUACUCUCAUUAGUAUUUUGAUAUUUUUUACGAAAUCCUUAGUGGUAACCAAAUGAGGAGAUAAGACCGUUCUAGAAAAAUGACUUGUAUCAUGACCAUUCCAGAAGAAUGGCUUGUAUUCAUGAAUUAUUAAUGCAAAUUUUACAAAUUGCAAGUUGACUACAUUGAUAAUACAUUGCAUUAAAGCCUUAGAAGAGCAAAAUAUGGGUAUAGCAAUGAUCAAUAUGAUAGACACCUAUUUUGUGGCAAAUGAUAUGGAUUAAGGUCCUGGAAAGACAAUCCAUUAACAUGUCAAUAUUAAAAUAAUGCACGCCUAAUACGUAGCAAAUUAUUUGGUUUAAAGUCCCAAAAGGACAAUUCAUUAACAUGUAUGUAUUAAUCUGUGGCAUAGCUGCAACAUGACAGAUAUAUGGGUUCUAAAUAUCUCAACUCUCUAAAUGGAGAUUAUCCACGCCCUAUUAUAAAAUAACACUCCAUUGGAGGUUAUGAUCUACAUUCUCACAUAAUUCAUCUUACAAGAGAUGUCUGUUUGGAAAAAAAAAACAAUACAAGCGCACCUGGAGUGGCUUGGGUACCCAAAAGCAAAGAAAUACUUAUAAUUGAUGCAAGCACAUGCACAUGAGAAUGGUGGGAUCACAAAUUGAUGAAUGACAAUUUUUGAUUUUAGAGUAGCUACUCAAAUCUAGGGGUGGGCACUCAAACCGGCGAACCGGAAAUCCGAGCCGAACCGUACCGAACCAAACCGAAAAAACACCGAGUUGACCAAAAAGUCAAAAACCGGUCAAAAACCGAACCGGACCGGUUUGGACCGGUUCCGGAUCCGGUUCCAUGUCUUCAAAAACCGAACCGGGCCAAACCGAACCGGUGAAACUAAAAAAAUAUAUAAUUUCAAUAUAUAUUUAUAUUUAAUGCUAUAUUUUUAAUUUCACUAAAAAAAACCUAAUAUUUAUCCAAGUUCAAUGUCAAAAUAUCUCUCUUUUCUUACUUUAAUAUUUAUUUUUUAUAUGAAAUUGAGUAAUUUGUUAAUUUUCAAGUAAAAAAAUAAUAUUUCAGUUGAGAAUUGUAUUAAAAAACAAUUUAAAAAAAUAAUUUUUAUAAUUCGGUUCAAAACCGAACCGAAACCGGAACCGGACCGAAACCGGUUCAAACCGAACCGGACAGUUUUUGAAAUUUUUUUUAUUAAAACCGAACCGAACCAAACCGGAUGAAUAGUACCAGAUCGGUUCUACUUUUAGGCAAAAACCGGUCCAAACCGAACCGUGCCCACCCCUACUCAAAUCAUCAAUGAGCUUUGUUGAUUGGAACCACGUUCUAUUAUUAAAUGUCGACAAAAUCAUUGGCUAAAAUGGAAAAAGGCCAUUCCAUUACAGAUCAGAAUGAACGUGGAAGAACAAACCUAUAGUAUGAACCCCAAAAAGAUGUUAGCAUUGCAGGUUAUACAUAGGUGUUCGAGAUAAAGAGUAAUACACUCACUUUAUAUGACACAAAUGUUUCUGGUAGAAACAAGGAAUAUUGAGGUUCUCCAUAUUUACACAUGCAAUCGUGGCUUCUUAUUGCAUAUUUACGGAGACCAACAUGCUAUCUUUAAGGGUUAUUAAAUGCAUGGAAGCAUAUCACUAGAAGUGAUUCCCUGAAGAUGUAUAAGAGGAAUAAAUAGCUGAGUAUAAAGCUAUAUUGUGUGUCAUGAAGUGUAAUCCCUUAAAUUAAAUACCUGAAAGAUUAAAAUUGGAUGAAGCAAGUCUUUAAAGGACACGUGCCUGAAACACAAAUUUGUACUCAAUAUUAAUAUGUACAAAUUGCCUCAGAGAGUACUUUGAUUGAAUUCAAAUUUAAAGAUGUUGCAACGUAUUCAAAUGUUUAAAGUUAUGGAAAAUAUUUAGACUCCUGAAGAGCCUACAAAGAAUAACAUAUGCAAUUAUUCUUAAAAUAUACAAAAAUAUAUAUGAAUGAUUGACUAUACCAUAUAAAGUUUCAAUACUCUUAUCAUUAUAAAUCUGAGUUUUUAUUUAUUUAUUUAUAUAUAUUGAAAAACCUAUGAAAUUAUUCAAGUCAUUGUAUGCAGUAAAAUAUUUAUAAAAAUAGCCUAGAUAUUGUUGUAUUAUUCUGACCUCAAUAGGGAUUAAAUAAAUGAAGACAUGCAUACAUCCUCCAAUGAUAGGGGUGGGCAUCAAUCCGGCCGAUCCGGUCAAUCCGGCCGAACCGAUUAUAUUGGAUUGGUUUGGUUUGGUUUUGACCAAAGAAAAAGUCAACAUUUUGAAAAACCGAACCGAACCGGUUUGGUUUGGUUCAGCUGUGGUUUGAGAGUUUUAAAAACUGUCAUAAACCGAACCGGACCGAUUAUAAAUUAAUUUAUUAUUUAUUUAAUUUAGUUUACAUGUGGCAAGGUUUGUGUGCGUUUUGUGAGUCCGCGUAUCUGAAUGUUGGUGCACGUUUUGAUCUUCUAAUUUGCAUAUCCCAGUUAUUUGUGUGUGCUUGUAUUUCCCUCUCUUUCUAUCUCUACUAUGUGUGUUUGCUCUUUGUGUUGUGUGGCUCUUCUUACUCUAUCUAUCUUAAUUAAUGGGUCCAUUUCAUAAUUUUAUACGCAUUCAAACUCCACCUCUGUGAUAAAAGUAUUUACCUCUCUGUGAUAAAAGCUUUUCAUUUGUUUGUAUUGUGAUGAAUGCAAUGAGUAAAUUUAAUGCAAAUUUUGUAUAUGUUUGUUUUGAUGAAAAUUGUGAACUUAGAUGCAUGCUAGACAUUGGACAACCUUUGAAUAAAU
rnacentral:lncRNA from 1 species